rnacentral:rRNA from 1 species
GAGUUUGAUCCUGGCUCAGGACGAACGCUGGCGGCGUGCCUAAUACAUGCAAGUCGAGCGGACUAACAGGAGCUUGCUCCUGUUAGUUAGCGGCGGACGGGUGAGUAACACGUGGGCAACCUGCCUGUAAGGCUGGGAUAACUUCGGGAAACCGGAGCUAAUACCGGAUAAAUCGUUCCCUCUCAUGAGGGAGCGCUGAAAGAUGGCUUUUAGCUAUCACUUACAGAUGGGCCCGCGGCGCAUUAGCUAGUUGGUGAGGUAACGGCUCACCAAGGCGACGAUGCGUAGCCGACCUGAGAGGGUGAUCGGCCACACUGGGACUGAGACACGGCCCAGACUCCUACGGGAGGCAGCAGUAGGGAAUCUUCCGCAAUGGACGAAAGUCUGACGGAGCAACGCCGCGUGAGUGAUGAAGGUUUUCGGAUCGUAAAACUCUGUUGUCAGGGAAGAACAAGUAUCGGAGUAACUGCCGGUACCUUGACGGUACCUGACCAGAAAGCCACGGCUAACUACGUGCCAGCAGCCGCGGUAAUACGUAGGUGGCAAGCGUUGUCCGGAAUUAUUGGGCGUAAAGCGCGCGCAGGCGGUUUCUUAAGUCUGAUGUGAAAGCCCACGGCUCAACCGUGGAGGGUCAUUGGAAACUGGGGAACUUGAGUGCAGAAGAGGAGAGUGGAAUUCCACGUGUAGCGGUGAAAUGCGUAGAGAUGUGGAGGAACACCAGUGGCGAAGGCGACUCUCUGGUCUGUAACUGACGCUGAGGCGCGAAAGCGUGGGUAGCGAACAGGAUUAGAUACCCUGGU